CUAGCGGACUAGAUAAUUUCAGCCAAACCUUUUCCGGCCUGUAUGUAUGUAAGAACUCUCCAUCCAAAGAAGUGCUACUCUGCAAUUUCUGAUCUCCUCCUACCUCCGUAUUUACUAUACAGGUGAGUUCAUAUUCGGAUUCUGUCACCUUUAUAUCAAAAGGAUUUGCUACUCUGCAAUUUCUAUCUCCUCCUACCUCCUUAUUUAUCAUACAGUGAAAGGCCGACCAAAAGGGGUACAACUCAGUUAACUGGGUGAGUUAGUAAAUAAAUGAGCUCAAGGGGGCGCGUGUAAAGGUACCAAAGUUUUUAUUGAGGUUCAAGUCAGAGAAAAGCGGGUUUAUGGCACAAGGAGUGGUUUUCUUCUAAACCACCUUCACGUUUCAUCUCCAUCUCAAAUGGAACCACCUUAUGAAUAUUUAUUAUCAUGGAGAUGGUUUCAGAUCGACUUGGAUGAGCUACUUCAAAGGAUGUCUUCCGCCGUUGUUGUGAUGCCAACUCUCUUUCAUCUAUAUACAUCAGCACAAACAAACACACUGCUGCCAGGUUUCUGAAUUUCUUUAAAGGUCGAGUCUCGUCCUUUUGCAACAAAAAUGCAGCAAACGUAAUUGAGGCUAAGAACUUGUUUGUUUGCAACUGACUCGGCGUCUGAAUCUGAGUCAAUCCCUGACUCGGACCGAGUCAGCAGUCAGACCGUUUGUUUUCCAUUUUGAGUCAGAUCUGACUCGACCUAUGAC